GAUGAACGCUGGCUACAGGCUUAACACAUGCAAGUCGUGGGGAAACGGCAUUAUGUGCUUGCACAUUCUGGACGUCGACCGGCGCACGGGUGAGUAUCGCGUAUCCAACCUGCCCCUUACUUGGGGAUACCCCGUUGAAAGACGGCCUAAUACCCGAUGUGUUUCAUUGACGGCAUCCGAUAUGAAACAAAGGUUUUCCGGUAAGGGAUGGGGAUGCGUCUGAUUAGCUUGUUGGCGGGGCAACGGCCCACCAAGGCGACGAUCAGUAGGGGUUCUGAGAGGAAGGUCCCCCACAUUGGAACUGAGACACGGUCCAAACUCCUACGGGAGGCAGCAGUGAGGAAUAUUGGUCAAUGGACGCAAGUCUGAACCAGCCAAGUAGCGUGCAGGAUGACGGCCCUAUGGGUUGUAAACUGCUUUUAUGUGGGAAUAAAUUGGCGCACGUGUGCGCCAUUGCAUG
rnacentral:rRNA from 1 species